rnacentral:rRNA from 1 species
UCUUGGUCAUUUAGAGGAAGUAAAAGUCGUAACAAGGUUUCCGUAGGUGAACCUGCGGAAGGAUCAUUACCGAAUCGUCGACACGAGUUGUUGCUGGCCCUCAAACCGGGGCAUGUGCACGCUCUGUUUGCAUCCACCCACACCUGUGCACCCUCUGUAGCUCUGCGGUCCGGGGGACCCCCCUCUUCCGUCCGCGGUUCUACGUCUUACACACACACUGUAACACGGUUUUAUGGAAUGUACGCAGCGUUUAACGCAAUACAAUACAACUUUCAGCAACGGAUCUCUUGGCUCUCGCAUCGAUGAAGAACGCAGCGAAAUGCGAUAAGUAAUGUGAAUUGCAGAAUUCAGUGAAUCAUCGAAUCUUUGAACGCACCUUGCGCCCUUUGGCUAUUCCAAAGGGCAUGCCUGUUUGAGUAUCAUGAACACCUCAACUCUCACGGUUCGCCGUGACGAGCUUGGACUUUGGAGGCUUUGCUGGCCUGUGGGUCGGCUCCUCUCAAAUGAAUCAGCUUACCGGUGUAUUGGUGGCGUCACAGGUGUGAUAACUAUCUACGCUUGCGGUCGCCCGCCAGACAACCUCUGCCAUCGUCGGAGGUUUGCCGGAGGCUCACAAACGUCUCCCGAGUGGAGACAGCCUUCUGAACGUUUGAUCUCAAAUCAGGUAGGACUACCCGCUGAACUUAAGCAUAUCAAUAAGCGGAGGAA